UGGGGAAUAUUGGACAAUGGGCGAAAGCCUGAUCCAGCCAUGCCGCGUGUGUGAAGAAGGUCUUCGGAUUGUAAAGCACUUUAAGUUGGGAGGAAGGGCAGUUACCUAAUACGUGAUUGUUUUGACGUUACCGACAGAAUAAGCACCGGCUAACUCUGUGCUAGCAGCCGCGGUAAUACAGAGGGUGCAAGCGUUAAUCGGAAUUACUGGGCGUAAAGCGCGCGUAGGUGGUUAGUUAAGUUGGAUGUGAAAUCCCCGGGCUCAACCUGGGAACUGCAUUCAAAACUGACAAGCUAGAGUAUGGUAGAGGGUGGUGGAAUUUCCUGUGUAGCGGUGAAAUGCGUAGAUAUAGGAAGGAACACCAGUGGCGAAGGCGACCACCUGGACUGAUACUGACACUGAGGUGCGAAAGCGUGGGGAGCAAACAGGAUUAGAUACCCGUGUAGUCCCUGAGCGGGCUGGCAAGGCGCAU
rnacentral:rRNA from 1 species